GGGGGCUAGCGUUAUCCGGAUUUACUGGGCGUAAAGGGUGCGUAGGCGGUCUUGCAAGUCAGGAGUGAAAGGCUACGGCUCAACCGUAGUAAGCUCUUGAAACUGGGAGACUUGAGUGCAGGAGGGGAGAGUGGAAUUCCUAGUGUAGCGGUGAAAUGCGUAGAUAUUAGGAGGAACACCAGUUGCGAAGGCGGCUCUCUGGACUGUAACUGACGCUGAGGCACGAAAGCGUGGGGAGCAAACAGGA
rnacentral:rRNA from 1 species